rnacentral:rRNA from 1 species
GGUCAAGCUACAAAGGGCUAACGGUGGAUACCUAGGGACACAGAGGCGAAGAAGGACGUGGUGACCGACGAAAUGCCUCGGGGAGCUGGAAACAAGCAAUGAGCCGAGGGUGUCCGAAUGGGGCAACCCAAUCAGAACGACCUGCUGAAUAUAUAGGCAGGAGCGAGCCAACUCAGCCAACUGAAACAUCUUAGUAGCUGAAGGAAGAGAAAGCAAACAGCGAUUCCCCUAGUAGCGGCGAGCGAAGCGGGAACAGCCUAAACCAAUUACCAAGGUAGUUGGGGUAGUGGGACAGUCACAACGGAAGAGGAAAAUUAGACGAAGCAGUUGAAAGCUGCACCAGAGGAGGUGAAAGUCCUGUAGUCGAAAAUGGAACUUACCAGACUCAAUCCCGAGUAGCACGGAGCCCGUGGAAUUCCGUGUGAAUCAGCGAGGACCACCUCGUAAGGCUAAAUACUCCUGUGUCACCGAUAGCGAAACAGUACCGUGAGGGAAAGGUGAAAAGAACCCCGGCGAGGGGAGUGAAAUAGAAUAUGAAACCGUUAGCCUACAAGCAAUGGAAGGACGAUUAAACGUCUAACCGUGUGCCUGUUGAAGAAUGAGCCGGCGACUUACAGCUAGUGGCAGGUUAAGAGGAAGUACUCGAAGCCAGAGUGAAAGCGAGCCUGAAGUAGGGCGAAAUAAAUGUCACUAGUUGUAGACCCGAACCUGGGUGAUCUAACCAUGUCCAGGAUGAAGCUUGGGUAAAGCCAAGUGGAGGUCCGAACCGACUGGCGUUGAAAAGCCAGCGGAUGAGGUGUGGUUAGGGGUGAAAUGCCAAUCGAACCCAGAGCUAGCUGGUUCUCCUCGAAAUGCGUUUAGGCGCAGCGGCAAGAAAAACUGAUUGAGGGGUAAAGCACUGUUUCGCUGCGGGCUGCGAGAGCGGUACCAAAGUGAGACAAACUCAGAAUACUCAAUCAAAGGUUGCCAGUGAGACGGUGGGGGAUAAGCUUCAUCGUCGAAAGGGAAACAGCCCAGACCACCAGCUAAGGUCCCCAAGUAGGCACUAAGUGAUUAAGGAGGUGGGAGUGCCUAGACAACCAGGAGGUUUGCUUAGAAGCAGCAAUCCUUGAAAGAGUGCGUAAUAGCUCACUGGUCUAGCGCCCCUGCGCCGAAAAUGAACGGGGCUAAGUGUCUCACCGAAGCUGUGGACUUGUAUGUAUGUACAAGUGGUAGAGGAGCGUUCUGUAGCGGGAGAAGCAUUAGCGGCAAGCAGAUGUGGACGAUACAGAAGUGAGAAUGUCGGCUUAAGUAGCGAAAAUAUAUGUGAGAAUCAUAUACCCCGAAAGCCCAAGGGUUUCUUCGGAAGGCUCGUCCGCGAAGAGUUAGUCGGGACCUAAGGCGAGGCCGAAAGGCGUAGUCGAUGGACACAGGGUGAAUAUUCCCUGACUGCUAGAUGGGAGCCAACAACGGGACGCAUGAGAAAUAACCACGCCCUGAAUGGAUUGGGAGGAGUCUAAGGACUCCGAGUGGUAAAGGUAGUGUCAAGAAAAGCGGUGUUGGCGUUGAAGAUUUAGUACCCGUACCCGAAACCGACACAGGUGGGCAGGUAGAGAAUACUAAGGGGCGCGAGAUAACUCUCUCUAAGGAACUCGGCAAAAUGACCCCGUAACUUCGGGAGAAGGGGUGCCACCGAGAGGUGGUUGCAAUAAAGAGGCCCAGGCGACUGUUUACCAAAAACAUAGGUCUCUGCCAACUCGAAAGAGGAAGUAUAGGGGCUGACGCCUGCCCAGUGCCGGAAGGUUAAGGAAGUCGGUCAGGAGCGUUCGCGUUCUAAAGCUGGCGACUGAAGCCCCGGUGAACGGCGGCCGUAACUAUAACGGUCCUAAGGUAGCGAAAUUCCUUGUCGGGUAAGUUCCGACCCGCACGAAAGGCGUAACGAUCUGGGCGCUGUCUCGGAGAGAGGCUCGGCGAAAUAGGAUUGUCUGUGAAGAUACGGACUACCUACACUUGGACAGAAAGACCCUAUGAAGCUUUACUAUAGCCUGGAAUUGGGUUCGGGCUUCCCUUGCGCAGAAUAGGUGGGAGACGUAGAAAUUAUCCUUGUGGGGGUAAUGGAGUCGCAAUGUGAGAUACCACUCUAGGGAGGCUAGAAUUCUAACUGGCUGCCAUAAUCUGGCAGCAGAACAGUUUCAGGUGGGUAGUUUGACUGGGGCGGUCGCCUCCAAAAAGGUAACGGAGGCGCACAAAGGUUCCCUCAGGCUGGAUGGAAAUCAGCCACAGAGUGCAAAGGCAGAAGGGAGCUUGACUGCGAGAGAGACAACUCAAGCAGGGUGGAAACACGGUCUUAGUGAUCCGACGGUGCUGCGUGGAAAGGCCGUCGCUCAACGGAUAAAAGUUACUCUAGGGAUAACAGGCUGAUCUCCCCCAAGAGUUCACAUCGACGGGGAGGUUUGGCACCUCGAUGUCGGCUCAUCGCAACCUGGGGCUGAAGUAGGUCCCAAGGGUUGGGCUGUUCGCCCAUUAAAGCGGUACGUGAGCUGGGUUCAGAACGUCGUGAGACAGUUCGGUCCAUAUCCGGUGUAGGCGCAAGAGUAUUGAGAGGAGUCUUCCUUAGUACGAGAGGACCGGGAAGAACGCACCGCUGGUGUACCAGUUAUCGUGCCAACGGUAGACGCUGGGUAGCCAAGUGCGGAGAGGAUAACCGCUGAAAGCAUCUAAGUGGGAAGCCCACCUCAAGAUGAGUACUCUGUUGGAGUAAUCCAGUAAGGUCACGGGAAGAACACCCGUUAAUAGGCGUUAGGUGGAAGAGCAGCAAUGUUUGGAGCCGAGGCGUGCUAACAGACCGAGGGCUUGACCUG